rfam:Picea glauca, whole genome shotgun sequence.
AAAAAGGCCCUUGUAAGGGCCCCCAUUAGAUAACUAUAAUAUAAC